rnacentral:rRNA from 1 species
AGGGUUUGAUCCUGGCUCAGGGCGAACGCUGGCGGCGUGCUUGAUACAUGCAAGUCGAACGGGGAAAGGAGCUUCGGCUCCGAUUACCAGUGGCGAACGGGUGAGUAACACGUGGAAACAUACCCAUUGCAGGGGGAUAACUACUUGAAAAGGUAGCUAAUACCGCAUAAAAUCUACGGAUAAAAGGUGCAAAUGCAUCGGCAAUGGAGUGGUCCGCGGACCAUCAGCUAGUUGGUAGGGUAAGGGCCUACCAAGGCGACGACGGAUAGCCGGCGUGAGAGCGUGGCCGGCCACAAGGACACUGAGAUACGGGUCCUACUUCUACGGGAGGCAGCAGUACGGAAUUUUGGUCAAUGGAGGAAACUCUGAACCAGCGACGCCGCGUGUAUGAUGAAGGUCUUCGGAUUGUAAAAGACUGUGGUAAGGGAAAAGUAGCUCAUAGAGUGGAAAGCUAUGAGAAGAGAUGGUACCUUACUAGAAAGCCCCGGCUAACUACGUGCCAGCAGCCGCGGUAAUACGUAGGGGGCAAGCGUUGCCCGGAAUCACUGGGCGUGAAGGGAGCGUAGGCGGCCUAGAAAGUCUACUGUGAAAAAUCAGAGCUCAACUCUGAUCUUGCGGUAGAAACUAAUAGGCUUGAGGACGGUAGAGGAAAACGGAACAGCUGGUGUAGGGGUAAAAUCCUUAGAUAUCAGCUGGAACGCCGGUGACGAAGGUGGUUUUCUGGGCCGGACCUGACGCUGAGGCUCGAAAGCCAGGGUAGCGAACGAGAUUAGAUACCCCGGUAGUCCUGGCCCUAAACGAUGUUCACUAGGUGUGGGGUACGUAAAGUAUUCCGUGCUAAAGCUAACGCAAUAAGUGAACCGCCUGGGGAGUACGGUCGCAAGACUGAAACUCAAAGGAAUUGACGGGAGCCCGCACAAGCGGUGGAGCGUGUGGUUUAAUUUGAAGCUAAGCGAAGGACCUUACCAGGGUUUGACAUAUGGGUAGUACGAAGUUGAAAGACGGAGGACCUGACUUUGUCAGGAGCCUAAACAGGUGGUGCACGGCCGUCGUCAGCUCGUGCCGUGAGGUGUUGGGUUAAGUCCCGCAACGAGCGCAACCCCUGUACAUAGUUACCAGCACGAAAGGUGGGGACUCUAUGUAGACUGCCGCCGACGAGGCGGAGGAAGGGGGGGAUGACGUCAGGUGUCGUGCCCCUUAUAUCCUGGGCGACACACGCGCUACAAUGGGUUGGACAACGAGGACCGAGACAGCAAUGUGGAGGGAAUCUCAAAACCAAUCCUCAGUUCGGAUUGUAGGCUGCAACUCGCCUACAUGAAGUCGGAAUCGCUAGUAAUCGCAGAUCAGCCAUGCUGCGGUGAAUACGUUCCCGGGCUUUGUACACACCGCCCGUCAAGCCACCCGAGUUGGAAACGCCUGAAGAUGGGGUAGAUAACCGCAAGGAAUCACCUUGUUUAGGGUGGAGUUGGCAAGGGGGGCUAAGUCGUAACAAGGUA